rnacentral:rRNA from 1 species
UACGAAGGGUGCGAGCGUUAUUCGGAGUAACUGGGCGUAAAGAGCGCGUAGGCGGCAUGUUAAGUUAGCUGUUAAAUAUCCCGGCCUAACCGGGAAAAAGCAGCUGAAACUGGCAAGCUAGAGGACAAGAGAGAGAAGUGGAAUUCUCGGAGUAGCGGUAAAAUGCGUAGAUCUCGAGAGGAACACCGGUUGCGAAGGCGGCUUCUUGGCUUGUAACUGACGCUAAAGCGCGAAAGCGUGGGGAGCAAACAGG